rnacentral:rRNA from 1 species
GAACUUUGAAGAGAGAGUUAAAAAGUACGUGAAACCGUUGUGAGGUAAACGGAGAGGCCCGGCGGGUCGCUCCGGCGCUUUCAGUUGGGCGGCGGUCGCGCUCGCUCGUUCGGGAUGCUAUCAGCACUCGGGCGGGCGUUUGCGGCCGUCGUCUUGCGCACUAGCGCCGUUGCGAACGCCGCGACCGGUUGGGCGGGGACCAGAAAUUUCGUGCGAAGGUAGCUCGGACGGCUUCGGCCCUACGAGUGUUACAGCGCGCGGAUUGGACGGCUUCCUUCCCGAUCGGGGUACCUGCCGCGUCGACCGUAGGGUGAGCGCCCGUGGUGCGUUCGCUCGCUGUGUGUUGUCCACUGUUCUCAGAGGGCGGCCGCAGCGGGUGUUCGUCGCCGCGGUCCCUCUCGGCGCCAAGGGUCGCGGUUAUGCCGGC